rnacentral:rRNA from 1 species
CCUACGGGCGGCAGCAGUGGGGAAUAUUGGGCAAUGGAGGCAACUCUGACCCAGCAACGCCGCGUGAAUGAUGACGGUCUUCGGAUUGUAAAGCUCUUUUCUAAGGGAAGAAGAAAGUGACGGUACCUUAGGAAUAAGCCUCGGCUAACUACGUGCCAGCAGCCGCGGUAAUACGUAGGAGGCAAGCGUUAUCCGGAAUGACGGGGGGUAAAGGGUGCGUAGGUGGUUUGACAAGUUAGUAGCGAAACUCCGGGGCUCAACUUCGGAAGUACUACUAAAACUGUUGGACUUGAGUGCAGGAGAGGCAAUCGGAAUUCCUAGUGUAGCGGUGAAAUGCGUAGAUAUCACGCAGAACCCCGAUUGCGAAGGCAGCCUUCCGGCGCCCUACUGACGCUGAGGCACGAAAGUGCGGGGAUCGAACAGGAUUAGAUACCCUUGUAGUC